rnacentral:rRNA from 1 species
GCCUAACACUGGCAGUCGUAACCGGUAACUCAGCUUGCUCUGGUGGCGAGUGGCGAACGGGUGAGUAAUAUAUCGGAACGUACCCUGGAGUGGGGGAUAACGUAGCGAAAGUUACGCUAAUACCGCAUACGAUCUAAGGACGAAAGUGGGGGAUCGCAAGACCUCAUGCUCGUGGAGCGGCCGAUAUCUGAUUAGCUAGUUGGUAGGGUAAAAGCCUACCAAGGCAUCGAUCAGUAGCUGGUCUGAGAGGACGACCAGCCACACUGGAACUGAGACACGGUCCAGACUCCUACGGGAGGCAGCAGUGGGGAAUUUUGGACAAUGGGCGAAAGCCUGAUCCAGCAAUGCCGCGUGAGUGAAGAAAGCCUUCGGGUUGUAAAGCUCUUUUGUCAGGGAAGAAACGGUGAAAGCUAAUAUCUUUUGCUAAUGACGGUACCUGAAGAAUAAGCACCGGCUAACUACGUGCCAGCAGCCGCGGUAAUACGUAGGGUGCAAGCGUUAAUCGGAAUUACUGGGCGUAAAGCGUGCGCAGGCGGUUUUGUAAGUCUGAUGUGAAAUCCCCGGGCUCAACCUGGGAAUUGCAUUGGAGACUGCACGGCUAAAAUCUGGCUGAGGGGGGUAGAAUUCCACGUGUAACAUUGAAAUGCGUACAUUGUCCAGGAACACCGAUGGC